rnacentral:rRNA from 1 species
UGGGGAAUAUUGCACAAUGGGCGAAAGCCUGAUGCAGCAACGCUGCGUGAAGGAAGAAGGCCUUCGGGUCGUAAACUUCUGUCCUUGGGGAAGAAGAACUGACGGUACCCAAGGAGGAAGCCCCGGCUAACUACGUGCCAGCAGCCGCGGUAAUACGUAGGGGGCAAGCGUUAUCCGGAAUUAUUGGGCGUAAAGAGUACGUAGGUGGCAACCUAAGCGCAGGGUUUAAGGCAAUGGCUUAACCAUUGUUCGCCCUGCGAACUGGGAUGCUUGAGUGCAGGAGAGGAAAGCGGAAUUCCUAGUGUAGCGGUGAAAUGCGUAGAUAUUAGGAGGAACACCAGUGGCGAAGGCGGCUUUCUGGACUGUAACUGACACUGAGGUACGAAAGCGUGGGGAGCAAACAGG